UGUUAAAAAUUCAUCCAAAUCUAUUGUUCAAAAAUGGUGUAGCCGACGGAAUAGCUAAACAGUUACAUGUGGUAUACCAUGUGUACCUACUGUUGACUUAUAGAGACUAGUUUUUGAUAGUGAAAAUGGAUGAAAUUUUUAACA
rfam:Gossypium raimondii Chr01_contig_273, whole genome shotgun sequence.